AAUUUUCCUUUCUUUUCAUGUGUUCCAAGUUUCCAACUUCCAAGCAAAGGAAAAAAUCAACCAUUUUAUGCCAAGAAUUUUUUCCUUCUGAGAGAGUGCUGCCUCUCACAACCCUUCUCUUUUCACAAGUCACAACACGACAGGUACACACUCUCGUUCAAUCUUUAUAUCUCAUCGGCCCUACCCUACCUCUCUUCGAUGUACACUCUCCGAUAAUCACCAUCCAGCGAUUUUGAAGCAAAUUAUUAGCACAAAGGGUCGAUGUAUUUCCUAACCUGCACUUCCCCGUUUACAGUAUCAAGUGUCUAGGAUCUGUGGAUUUUUCCUAUGCUACUUGGAUUAGCUGAACGGAGUGAAAUUUUCUGUGUGUGGGACACUGCCAAAGAUGCCAACUCUAGUCGCUGCAACACGGGUUCUUCUCCUUGCUGGUGACAUUUUACCUUUGAGAAGAUUGUCCUUGGUUUCCAAAAGAGCUCCAUUCUGCACUACUGUACGUUCCUUUAGCCAGGCUGAUCGCGAGAAUGGAACUCUCACCCUUGCAAGCCUAGGGUCGAAAAGUGAUUUCAAGACAACAAACAAGAGAAGGCCAAAUAAUCUUGCGCACUCAGAAGCUUCUAUUGAGUUACAAAGAACUGAAGAGAAGGUGGUUAAAAGCAAUGGAGUCAAGGAAGUUGGGGUAAAAAAAUCACUUGAAAUAGAAACGGCUCCUUUUGCCGCAAAUUCAUUUUCUGAACUUGGCCUCCCACCUUUAUUAUUAGAAAGGCUCGGAAAGGAAGGCUUCACUGAUCCAACUGAUGUUCAGUCAACAGCAAUUCCAGUGAUUCUAAAAAAUCACGAUGUCGUAAUUCAAUCAUACACAGGUUCGGGAAAAACCUUAGCCUAUCUUCUUCCUAUUCUCUCCAAAGUGGGCCCACUGAAGAUGAAGAAUCACUUGAAUGGUAAUGAAUCAGGGAGGAAAACAGAUGUAGAAGCUGUAAUUGUAGCUCCAUCUAGGGAACUCGGAAUGCAAAUUGUGAGGGAAUUUGAAAAGCUAUUAGGACCUGUACACAAGAAAAUGGUGCAGCAACUCGUGGGGGGUGCAAAUCGAUCAAGGCAGGAGGAUGCCCUUAGGAAAAACAAGCCGUCCAUUGUUGUUGGAACUCCAGGGCGUAUCGCAGAGAUUAGUGCUUCUGGAAAACUCCACACUCACAGCUGCCAAUUCCUCGUACUGGAUGAAGUCGAUGAGCUCCUUUCAUUUAACUUCCGGGUUGACAUGCAACGAAUAUUAGAGCAUGUAGGGAGGAGAUCCGGGUCAGACCCGCGGGCUACCCGAGACCCACUUACUAGUCGGAUCGAGCGUCAGACAAUCAUGGUUUCUGCAACAGUUCCAUUUUCGGUGAUGAGGGCUGCUAGGAGCUGGGCGAAAGAUCCCCUACUUGUGCAAGCUAAAAGUGUUACAUCUGUUGAUUCUGUCCCACAUUCUGAGCCCAUUAAGUUGUCAGGAAAUAGUUCCAGUACAAAUUCAUCCUCAAAUUUGCCGACGGAGAGCCUUCCACCAGCUCUGAAACACUACUACUGUGUUGCAAGGGUACAACAUAAGAUAGAUACCCUGAGGAGAUGUGUUCACGCGCUCGAUGCGAAAUCGGUGAUAGCUUUUAUGAAUCACACGAGACAACUGAAGGAUGCGGUGUUCAAGCUAGAGGCGCGUGGGAUGAAUGCCGCUGAGUUGCACGGAGAUCUGGGCAAGCUUGGGCGAUCGACGGUUUUGAAGAAGUUCAAGAAUGGGGAGGUGAGGGUAUUGGUGACGAAUGAGCUUUCAGCUCGUGGUUUGGACGUGGCGGAAUGUGAUCUUGUGGUUAAUGUGGAAUUACCGACGGAUGCGAUCCAUUAUGCGCAUCGGGCAGGUCGAACAGGUCGGCUUGGAAGGAAAGGGACUGUGGUCAGUAUAUGUGAGGAGCCUGAAGUGUUUGUUGUAAAGAAGUUUCAAAAGCAACUUGGGGUUCCUUUUGAACCUUGUGAGUUUACCGAGGGGAAGCUUAAUGUUGGUGAAGAAAAAGGGAAGUCCAGAUGAGUGAGGUGAAAUUUCUUUGAUUUGGUGAUUUCCCAUACCAAAUGAGCCUCAAUUGAGGAUGUUUUAUGUCUGAUAGUCCUAACUAACUACAUGGCGGUGGGAGUGUUCCUUUAUUCCCUGGGUAUGACUGACUUUGAAGAUGGUAAGAAUCUCAAUGGAGAUGUCGCUAGCUUCUCUGCAUCUCACUGGACCGUCAUCAUUCCAUUCGGUUACAAUGCAAGCUAGUAAUACAGUUUCCAAGGCAGUUGAUUAGCUUUAGGGCCAUAGCACGCCAAAGUGUUCGUGUUUGUACCUAUGCAAAUGAGACUAGAUCCUUGUAUUCCGACACACCAGGAGGAAAGUUGCAUUUGUAGCUGGAAAAUACAACAGUUUCUCUGAUCCUAUUGUCCCCAAAAGGAAUCGAAAUGGACGUCUAGGAUGAUAUUUUUCGAUACUGUGACGGAUGUUGCUUAUUAAAUCGGACCUGAUCAAAUGGAUAAUGUAUAACUUGUGAAGCAAAAGUUGACCA